CAGAGUGCGAAGAUGGACUUUUCAUGCCUGGGGUUGCUAUGACUAGCUUAGUAAACUAAGUAAAAUGGCUGCACACGGACAAGAGAUAGCCAGAGAGUUGCAAGUUUUGGCAAAUCUUGCUGAAAAUGGAAGUGCCUCACCAGAUUUUUUACUUUUUCGUGUUGAGGCUCUGAGUAUUUGUUACAGUUAUCUUCAUCUACGGACACAGAGGUUGACCCUGUAGUGUUCAACGUUUUUGAAGAAGUGGAACAUAGUCUUAGAGCUAGCACUAAUGUUUUGAUGCAUUCAGUCGACUCCGGAGCAGUUGGACGCCCUUCUCUUGUACUGCCCUUGUACUGCCCGGUGUGUCAGUCCGUGACAUUGCGACUCUUUUUGGGGUUGGUGAAAGAACAAUUCACCGCCGAAUGGCAGAUCAUGGAAUACGGGUUUCUGAUCUGUUUACCACCAUUGGUAAUGAAGAGUUGGAUUUGGCAGUACGGAAAUCCUUCGCCGUCAUCCAAACACUGGCUAUAAAAUGAUGUUGGGCCAUGUUAAUGCCCGAGGCAUAAAAGUCCAGCGACAACGUCUUCAAGAAUGUAUGCAUCUUAUAGACCCAGAAGGCGUUCAGAUGCGCAGGCUCCAGCUCCAGACGUUGAGGCGCAGAAGAUAUUUUGUGCCAGCCCCUAACAGUUUGUGGCAUAUAGAUGGCAACCAUAAGCUUAUAAGUUAUGGCUGAGUUUUUCAGGUAAACAGCAUUUAUACAAUACCUUUUUGUAAGUAGAAUACUAUAUCAAGAAUGCAGGCUUCAAGUUUUGGAGAAAGUCUAUGGGUUGUAUUCUUCGUAUUUUGCUCAAAUUCCUUGAAAACAUAAUCUCAGAUAAUUAUUCAUUUCUACAGUCCUUUGAUUCUAGAGGAUAUCUCCAAGUCCCUCAAUGUCCCCGUAUUUGCAGGGUAUCCCAAAUCCACAAAAACACGAUUGUAUAAAAACCUUCCAUACCAUCACAAUGCAUGAGUUUAUUAAAUGUGUUUAGUAGAUAGAAUAAUAACAUAAUUUCAUUUGCAGUUCCCUGUGAAAGCACACAAGCGCAUUGUUUGCUAAAGAUGUUUUCACCAACAUUAUGUUUGAUAUGAACCCAUACAGUUCUUUCAUAACAAUGAACAUGGACAUCAGAAAUAUGUCAAUUGAUGUUGGACCACUAUGUGCAGGCAACUCAUCUCAUUUGUGCUGUGACAUAUAAGCAAGAUGCCUGCCUCUGCAUCUAAAUCUCUAAUGAAGCAACACCAUUUAAUAUGAAAAAAUAAAUCCAGUGAUUGAAGACUGCUAAUCAUUUUAACUGUUAGAUGUUACCUUGAAGUGUAAUACACAAUGCCAUCUUAUUUAAAUUACAGAUGGCGAAUUGUAGUUCAUGGUGGCAUUGAUGGUUUUAGCCGUCUAAUUGUGUACCUUACCUGCGCCACGAACAACCGGGCCUCAACAGUGAUGAGCAGCUUCCUUGAAGCUGUCAACACCUAUGGAGUGCCAUCACGAGUUAGGUCUGACAAAGGAGGAGAAAAUGUUCAAGUGGCACACUUAUAUCUUAUUCUGCCUUUCACAUGAUUUAAACUCUCAAAUCAAAAGUGUACUCUGAUAUCCACAAAAACAUGUCUUUAAACAUAUGAGGCAUUUGUAUAAUGACUAAGAAGAAAAAAACGUACGGCAUGGAGGAGGGUUUUCUCUUUUAGCCAGACCCUGUUAUCCAUUGUGACGCCAGGCAGGUCCCAAGGCAGUGCCAGAGAGAGAACUUUAGUUUUAUCUUCCUCUGUAAGUUCCAUGGUUCCUUCCAGCUGAUCAAGGACAGACACAACGCUAAGUUAAAACUAACAAUACAUUAUUUAGAAUUUGGUCGAGCAACAACAUUUAAAAGCAAACUAAGUUUGAUGAACACACACAAAGUUAGUUGCUUUAAAAGAAGAUGAAUUGUAACAUGUUUUGUAAACAAUUAUAUAUGAUAUUUCACUACUAAACAACUCGAUGACAUCACGGACAUCCUGGUCCACGCAGUCAGAUCGAGUUAUUGUUGCCGUCUCUUGUUCUCCGCCAAACAGUACAUGCAUGAUAGCGGGGCUUUGACCGGUAAAAUGUGGGCCACCAUUUAAAAAACAGUGCCCAAUCAUACGGCCAGCUACAACAAAAAAGUCACUUUCUAAUAGUGUUUGUGAUGUUGAUGGAAUUAAAUGGUCUCUUUGUCCUUCAAACAGCAAGGUCUUGAUUUCUGAGAAGAAGCAGAUUUAAUUGUUACUGGCUAAGUUGAUUUAUUUUUCAUAUACAUAAUCAUAAUCAGUCUAUAAAUCAAUAAUAUGAAAUACCUUUCUCUUCAUCAAGAAGGAAUCCAUUUUGCAGUUGUUCCAUGACAGUAGAGAGCACAUACCUGGUGACGCCCUCUCCAAUGGCAGAGUCACCUAAUAAAAAAUAUUGGAAAUGUUACACAUGGAUGCCUCAAUGGAGACCCCUCUUGUUUUGAAUUCUCUGUCAAAGUUCUAUCUAGUAUCUGGGACUGACAUCUAAAAAACUGUACAACCACUGUACACUAGGUGGAACUUCCCAUUUCAAAUUCACUCCCCCUCACCACCAAAACGUAAUAUAACAAUGUACUGGUUCUGUCUAUUUUGACACGUCAUUUAGAUUUUUACCAAUCAAUCUGCAAUGCAGUGGAUUAGCCCACUCCACCCUUGGCCUUUUGUAAAAAAAGCAUGAUGGCCCUGUUCCUUUCCACUAUGGAAUCCCUCAAGCUUAGUGUGAAGGCAAGGGGGUCUUUGUCCUUGUUGGAGUCAAGUGUUGUGUGGGUGAACAAUUCCGCUGCCUUUCCUGGGUUGGGUUCUGUGACCCAAGCUUAACAGAAACGCAAAAUGUUAAAUACAUUUCACUGCUACAGUAAAUAUAUGAUAUUAUACUAUAUUAUACUUAUUUCUAAAUAAUCUGGAAAUCAAUAAAUCAUUAAGUCACCUGCCACAUCCCCAAAAGAAUACUUAGCUGUCUAAAUGAGGACCGACUAUUCUGUGUAAACGUUAUUUUCAGAAAGGUAAGUUGAUACCAAUGUUUAUAUUUAUAUAAACAUAAUUUAUAAUAGGUUCUUCUGAACUUUGUUUGUACAUUUACUUACCAUCAAGGAUGUAUACUGGCCCACUUGCUGCUGAAGUGCCAGAUGAACUUGCUGCUGAUAUUGACAAUAUAAAAUAAUCCGUAUUCAUAAUUAUGUUCAAAGCAUUAUAUCACCAGGUGGGUGUGUGCAUUUCAUGCAAGUGUUUGUAAUGAAUGGAAACUGAGUACAAGUAAAUGUACCCUCUUAAAGUAAUACAACACCUGAAACUAGCCUAAUUAAUCAUAAACCCUAAAUUGCGCAAAAUCUCUCAUCCCUUAGAACCAAUCUGUAAUCUUGGUGAGUACAAACCCUCAUCUGAACCUGUCUCCAGACUCCGCCAUGAGCAAAUCUACAACUUGAUGCUGUAAGGUGGUGUCACUUGUCCCACUGGCUCGAGGGCAGCUGCACCAUUCUCCCUGUCAUUCUCUACAUCCCUUUUAACCUGUGAUCGGCUUGAAAAGAGUUAAGUUGAGGAGAUAGUUUGCCUUUACGCAGUAUCAAUUAUUCAAACACAAACAUUUCAUAAAAGACCUCUACAUCGGUAACCAGGCUGGUUGACAAAUGGAUAGUUAUGAUUACUGGCUAUUUUAUAACAAACAUACACCAACAUUGAACCAAAGGGAAAAAGGAACACAAUGUUAAAAUACAUUUAAAAUUUAGAGCAUUACCUUGAACAGGCAUCAUUGUGGGUUCUGAUUUGUGCAAAAGGUAGUUGUUCUCCACAGUGAAUGCAAGAUGUCAGGGGUCCAGUUUGAGCAACUGAAUUAUCCACUUCCUAAUUGUUGAGACAACAACAUAAAUAACUGAAACAACACAUAAAAUACACUGUGGAAGGGUGAGCAAUUUGACAGAAACAUUUGAAUCUUUAGAUUUCUAGAUGACAGUAGAUUAGAGUAACAAUCCACAUAUUGACUUGACAGAUCAGUUAGUGCACUCAAAUAUUCAAGACAAAUAACAGCAAAAAUGUAGAACUUUGUCUUACAUUCUCCAUACUCAAAUUUCUUUACAGUGGUGAGAAUGUAAAGAGUGGCAUGAUUUAUCAUGACUGAAGGGUCUUUUAGGUAUUUGACACAGUAGCCCUGAUUAGGGCAAGGGAUGGAAACAAGAUGACGGCUUUGUGUGGUUCCAGAAAUUUAUCCAGAAAUUCAAAUCAAUUUUGGAUAGCUUGUCAAAAUGGACUCCACAAACUCUUCUGAGUUUUCUUGGUUACCUGUGAGAUAAUAAACAAGACAAAAUAGCACCAGCAACAAUGUUUUUUGUUAUUAUAAAACAGCUGACAGGAACUUUAUCUGCACUACAUUUGCCAGGUGACAUACCUCGAAAGUUCAGGCGCCUCUCACCCAACCCCACCCUCUGGAGAUGCUCUUUGCCAACUCUGCUUGGGACGAUAGCUGUGUCUAUCCGCCCAAGACAGCAAAAUGUGUGGGUGUAAGUGACAAGUUGGUUGGUCUGAGAGUGUCUUGGUUGGCGCCUUGACCUUGUUUGGUUGUUGUACGCGGAAAACAGCCUUGAAACUUCCGCUAGAAAAAUAAAUUCAUUAUAUAGUGAAUUACGUAAUACAUUCUCAAACUACAUUAAACCGAUAGGUCGCCAAAGCUUAUGUCAUGUUGUUUACUGUAAUUUUUUUUUACUGUACACUUGUUGGUUAUGAUUACUUAUAAUGUAUAUUAUGUGUAUUAGCUGACCAUCAACAGGGUGGUGUAGACCUCUGCGACCAAUUGGUGUACCAGAUGAUAUGCCAGAAGUGGCAGAUGAUAUUGCAGAAGUGACAGAUGACAUGGAAGAUGCUGUU